GUCCAUGCCCUAAACGAUGAUUACUCGAUGUGUGCGAUACACAGUACGCGUCUAAGCGAAAGCAUUAAGUAAUCCACCUGGGAAGUACGACCGCAAGGUUGAAACUCAAAGGAAUUGACGGGGGCCAGCACAAGCGGAGGAGCAUGUGGUUUAAUUCGAUGAUACGCGAGGAACCUUACCCGGGCUUGAAAGUUAUGGAAUGAUGUGGAAACAUGUCAGUCAGCAAUGACCAGAAACUAGGUGCUGCAUGGCUGUCGU
rnacentral:rRNA from 1 species